ACAUGCCUACAACAUAGCUUUAAUGCACCGGAUCCCAUUAGAAUUCCUCAGUUAAGCGUGCUCGAGCUAGAGUAGUAUUGGGAUGGGUGAUCACCUGGGAAGUCCUAGUGUUUUACAUGCC
rnacentral:rRNA from 1 species